GGGGAAUAUUGGACAAUGGGCGCAAGCCUGAUCCAGCCAUGCCGCGUGGAUGAUGAAGGCCUUAGGGUUGUAAAAUCCUUUCGACGGGGAAGAUAAUGACGGUACCCGUAGAAGAAGCCCCGGCUAACUUCGUGCCAGCAGCCGCGGUAAUACGAAGGGGGCUAGCGUUGCUCGGAAUCACUGGGCGUAAAGCGCACGUAGGCGGCUUUUUAAGUCAGAGGUGAAAUCCUGGAGCUCAACCCCAGAACUGCCUUUGAUACUGAGAAGCUUGAGUCCGGGAGAGGUGAGUGGAACUGCGAGUGUAGAGGUGAAAUUCGUAGAUAUUCGCAAGAACACCAGUGGCGAAGGCGGCUCACUGGCCCGGUACUGACGCUGAGGUGCGAAAGCGUGGGGAGCAAACA
rnacentral:rRNA from 2 species